GUGCUCACUUCAUCCAGCUGCACUUGUUUUAAAAUUGGGAUGAUACAGAGAUUAGCAUGGCCCCUUGCACAAGAGUGACAUGCCAAUUUAUAAAGCAGUCAAUAUUUUU
ensembl:snRNA U6 U6 spliceosomal RNA